rfam:Sutterella parvirubra YIT 11816 genomic scaffold Scfld844, whole genome shotgun sequence.
ACCGACGAGGAGCGCUGCGACGGAACCCACGGGUUCCGCCAGGCUCGCCGGUGCGGUUUUGCUUUCCCCAACGGCGCUCGUCCGAU